UUUGUUUUUCCGAUUUCAAAACCAAAACCAGAAAUCGGAUUACGGUUCGUUUUCUCGUUUUUCCGAUUUCAAAACCAAAACCAGAAAUCGGAACCAGAAAUCGGAUUACGGUUCGUUUUCUCGUUUUCGUUUUCUCGUUUUUUCGAUUAUGCACCCCCAAACGGAAAAUGGAAAAUGAAACAUUCGGAUAACAAAUCCUGGGAGUGUUAGUUGUCAGGGAAACCGAUCGCGAGCCAACAACUGACUCAUGCCACAACUGAUCUGUAAGGAAACAUGGCUAAUUUGGAGUCUCACUACGAGAUGAUAAAUCAACUCUUUCUGUCGGGGAAAACUCACGCCGAAAUGUCUGAGACAUUGAAGAGUAUGGGAAUUAAGGGGUCCUCGGAGAUGUCGGUGAGGAGAUUCUGUGGCGACGUUGGGCUGAGACGGAAGGGGCACAUCACAGACCAAGAGCUGGAAGAAGCUGUCCUGACAUCUAUUCAAAAGACCGGUCCAACGUACGGACGGAAAUUUAUGACAGGGUACCUGUCAUCUGUGGGGGUGAAAGUGGGUGAAAUAAUAAAUUUGACUGUACACAACAUAGGCAUACUAGUAUUCUGUUGUCCAACGGUGCAACAAAAUGUCCUGUGGUGCGACAAAUUGAAUUGUGAGGGGAAAAGGUAUUUUAAUGAAAAAUGUAUGUAAAAAGUGUUGGAUAGUAUAACAAUGAUAUCAUCACUAUGCAGCUUUAAGGAUGAAAUGAAGAUUCCUUGAGUUUUAUACAAAUUAUAAUGAAUGUAACCCAGACAUUUGGGUUAAGUCUCUAUGUGUACAUCUUAUAGUAUAUAAAUAACAUAAUUCUGAAUUUGUUGGGGGUAUGUUUGAUGUGGAAAUAUAAUUGAGACAAACUAAUAUGCCUUGUGCUUAUCUAUCUUACCUGUCCAACAUUCUCUGAAUUAAACAAUGGCAUUCUUUAUGUCGUUGCACCGGUGGACACAUUUUAGGACUACCACACCAAAAAGUGAAUAAUAUGCAAAAUAUAUGAAGAAUUAGAAAUGGACACAUUCAGUUUUGAAUUAUUCACAUAUAAGGGAAUAUAAUUAUAUGUCAUUGGACAUAUAUUUUUGAAUUAUUAUUUUUUUCACUUUGGAUUUGAGUUCACGUCAACCACCCAUAUACUCAUACCUGGUUUUUUUCUGUCUUCUUCCACAGCAAUGUGAUGUUCCUGAUUUGGGAUCUGCUUCUCUUGCGUCUGUUUCCGAAGAGUCUUACUUUGUUAUCCCACCGGACAGUGUCCUUCAAGUUCCAUUGGAUAGGCCACAGUUCUCCAAGACUUCAUCUUUAUUCCUCAACAUUUUUCUCUGCAGUCUAUGACAUCACUCCUGCUUAAGCUUCUCUACGCUGACUACCAUAAGAAUUAAGAUUUAUGAUAGAGGACCCUCUCAUCCCCUUCAUCAACUCCCACCAGACAGGAGAUUCAAUCUACUACCACCAACUACAAGAACUCCUCAGCAGAAAGCUUUCUUAACGGACAAUAAAGUUUAUUUAUCUA